rnacentral:ncRNA from 1 species
GUGUUGUGUGACAUGAGAGGUUACCAUUCCCGUUAAUAAGGAUAGAAGAGGUCUUAAUGGUCUUUACAGCACAUAUAUGGUUAAGGCAUUGCCACCUAUUGGGUGCUAUCUAAACAUAU